UACCAUAGUUACUGGGCUGCAGCUGUUCUUACUGUGGCAUUCCUCUGUGGGAAAGAAAAUGUAACACAUUCAAUACUUAUUUCUUAGCCAAGCAGAAAGCAGGCAUAUGUGUGACAGACACAA